UCUGGGCUUCCAGGAAGAGGACUCUGGAGAUGAGUCCCGGGAAGCACACAGUCGCUCCAUUGCCCCUGACCCAGUAACUGGACUUCUGGGAACAUACUUCAAGGAAAUAACCCAAAGGGCAAAAGAUGACUAGUGCAAACACUCGAGCUGGGUUAUUUAUAACAGCAAGCGGCUGAAAAUAACAAGUGGGCAAUGGCUCCAGAAGCUUGGAGGUUGACGACUAGGCUUAAGGCCCCCCGCCCUGCAACCAGGACCUGGGGAGCAGAGGCCUCAGGGCCCCAGCCACAGCAGGAUGGAGUCCCGUCCACCGGUGGCCAGUCCCUUUGGGGGACUGACAGAAGAGCUUCCCCUGACUCUAAUGUGAGACCCCAGGGCAAGUCGGCACCAGGACCUUGGCCUGAUACCUGCUGACCACACAGCUUCACCUGCCAGUGACUUAUGAGCCUGCACACAGCUCCCCGGGGCCCACGGUGCCACGUGACAACUCUGGGCCUCUGUGUGGGCACUCCCCCAGCCCAGAAGCCUUUCACCACAUGGAUAUCCCAGGCACCGCCCCCAGACAUGCCGCCGCCAAUCAGGACCGGCUCCUCCCACUCCGUGAGAGAAUCACCCCCACCUGCCCAGAGCCAGCCCAUUUCUUGGACACGCCCACUACGCCCUAGCCCCGCCUCCUAUGGCCCCGCCCCCACCACGAAUGGAGCUUUCCACCCAGUCGGCCCGCCAAAUGCUGGGGAGGCCCCGCCCCCGGAGGCCCCGCCCCUAACGGCCUCUCCCACCGCUUGGGGCCCCACCCCCUCUGGGCCCCGGCCCCGCCUCGGCGCAUCCAGGGCCCCCAGGCCUCUCUGGGACGCCCGCUCCGCACGGCCGCGCACUCCAGCCCAAAGCUGACCGAGCCCAAACUGCCCCGGCCUUCCCCGCUGCCUAACCCGCUGGGCCCCAAGUCCCGGACUCCGGCCUGGGCCUAGCGGCCUGGAGCGCAGCCUCAACCCGCCUGCCCGCCGCCUUGCCGCCGUGCGCUCGCCCGUCUCUGUCCCACAGACCGCACCUUUGAAUAGAUAGUCGUACUCGUCGUCCCUGGUCCCCAUUGUCCUGGCGCUUCCGGCGGGAUCGGCGACUCCGCAGCCCCACCACAAACACCCGACGGGGGCGGAGCCGGCGCCGCGCAGAGCGGCGGCUGGAUGACCAAUCAGAGGCGGGUGGCGUAGCGACCGGCACCCAGGGCAGCCAAUCAGAGGCAGAAGCAGAGCCUCAAGGGUGGGCACCGCCUGGGAUCCACCCUCCUCGCCUUCGGUCUCCUGGAGAAAGGCGGAAGGAAUGCGGACCUUUCUGAAGUGACGGCUGCAUCAGCCUAUCAGAGGUGGGCUCUCGAAGGCGGGGCGGAAGACUGUAAGAAUGAAACAGAUUGAUGGAACGAGUAACCAAUGAGAGGCUUGAUUCAGACGGUCCGGGAGUACCAGAGGACCUGUCCGGGAAGGGAAAUGGGGCUACGUCCAGGUGAUGUUACGCUAGCUAACGUCCCGAUGACGUCAUAGGUCAAUGCGCGCGCUCUGCUUCCCCCGAACCCCGCCUCUCUCUGCCCUCCCCAGUAAAUGACCGUUUCCCGGCCUCUGAGCGGGUUUUUGUUUUUUGUUUUUUCCCACCUGGGGGUUCCCUCUCGGUUCUUGGUUGGAUUUCCAUCGCUGUAUUUGGGAGUCAUUAAGGUACCCCACUACCUCAGUUUCCUCCGCUACAUGACGGGAGAAACUCACUUCGUGGAAUCUUUGGAAGAUAACUAGAUCAUCUCGAGACCUAAAGACAUACUAAAUCAACCAUCCACUUUCUGUCAUUGAGGCUUUAACAAAUAUAAAGUCCUUCCUGGACGUCAGACUCUCCCCAACAUGAUCUCCCCUUCUCUAUCCCCUUGCCCUGUUAUAUUCCACCUUCCUCCCCCGGAGGAUUUACCACUACCUGAUAUUAGACUGUAUUUCUGGGGGCGCCUGCCUGGCUCAGUCGGUGGAGUAUGCGACCCUUAUCUCGGGGGUUCGGGCCCCAUUUGGGCGUAGAGCUAAUUUUAAAUAAAUAAAUAAAUAAAUAAAUAAUAAAUAAAUAAGUAUUUCUUGAUCCAUUAAUUUCUCUAGUCCCCUGCCAACAGCUCAUCAGCCCCAUGAAGGCAAGGACUCUUGUCUGUCUCUGCUGGUGCUGUGUCCGCAGUGUUCAGUAAAUAUUUGAUGAGUGACGAAUAAUGUAACCAGAGAGCUCUGUGGUAGUUAUUUUACUAUAAUUAUAAUUAUUAUCAUUGCCUCGUGGACCUCAUCCCUGCAUUGUCCAACAGGCAUCCGAGACACUAAUUUGGCCUCUUUUCCCAUAUCCACUCCUCCUGUGACUCCGUGUCCCCCACGCCACCCCGCACCUCAAUCCUCCUCUCCUGCCCAGCUCACAGCCAAAGGUCAUGGAUUCCUCUCUCCUCUUCCUUUAGUCCCCUGCUUCUUCCUGCCUCCUUUCCUUCAGUUGUCUUACUGUUUUCCCCUCCUCCCUUCUCAAUUUCUGACCACUUCUCACCGCCGCCACUGCCACCAUCUCAGUCCUGGCCCCAUCAUCACUCCCUGGACCUGAGCUGUUGUCUAUCCCCAGAUCUCCCUGCUCUGCCCUCACCCCACACAGUCUGCAGUCAGAGGAGUCUUUUUUUUUUUUUAGGUAAACUCUAUGCCCAACAUGAGACUCAAACUCACCACCCCGAGAUCAAGAGUCACAUGCUCCACAGACUGAGCCAGCCAGGAGCCCCAGAGGAGUCUUUUAAAACAUAAGUCAGAUUGUCCCGCUCACCUGUUCAAAAAUCUUUCAGUUCUUCCGUUGUAAACAUUUACUGAGCACCUACUAAGUACCAGGCAGUGCUCUAGGUGCUGGGUCUGCAGCAUUGAAUAAGACAAAGUCCAAGCCCUCACAGCUGGCAUCUAAUGGGGUCAGGCACACAAAAAGCCAGUAAACAAUCUGCACAAGAUAAUUUCAGAAUGGGAAGCGAGCAGUGAGGGGAAUAACUUGGAUUAUGUGAUGAUGGUGGCGCUCCUUAGCUAGGGACCCAGGGAAGGCAUCCUGGGGGAGGUGGCAUUUGCACUGUUUGGGGGAGGGGAGGAGGUGGUGGGAACAGCAUUCCAGGGGGACACAACAGCAAGUGAGAGAGACUCUGAUGGAUCUGAACAGCCAGGUAGCCAUGGUGGCUGGAGAGUGGGGUCCAGGAGCCAAGAGAUUGGACAAGUUGAAAAAAGCAAGACUGGAAGCCAGACCAGAGUGGACCCUCCUGGGCCUUGUCAGCACACUCCCAGGCAGUUGGCUUGAAGCCUUGCACAUUCCCUUACAAAUGCCCUCUCCCCCAACUCCCAGUUCACCAUCCUAGCUUCCUGCCCAAAUGCUGCAGCCAGGUGGGGCUAUUAAAUGGUUCCCCAGUGAGCUUUACUUCCUGCCAAGGUCACAAGCGCUCUCACUGUGCGCUCUUCCUGGAAUGCCACCCCCCCACCCCCCCACCCCUGGUCUUCUUUGAAAACUGACUCAAAAGCCACCUCCACCCUGAAGCCUUUUCUCCAGGAUAGCUCAUAGUAAUAUUAGUAAUGUUGCCUAAUGUUUUUAUUGUGUGCUAUGAGCCAGACACUGUUUGGAGUGCUUUUCAUUUACUGCCACAUGAACUCCUCACAGCACCAGGAGAACAGAAAGGGGUAGGGAUGGGAGGGUGGGGUACCAGAGGCUCCCCACCCCCCAUUUUCCAGGUGCAGGAACUGAAGCCACAGAGCUUUAACAGACUAUCUCUAGUCAACCGGGAGAAUGAUGUGGUUGAAGACUCGGACUCCAGAGUUGGGCGGGUCUGGAUUCACAUCCUGGCGCUCGUUCGGUUCCCAGUCCUAGUGGUUAUUCUUUGUGUUGUUCCCCGGGAUGAGAGAGGCCGUGAUGACAGGAGAUGUGACAGUGUUGGGGAGAUAAGCUCUCUUGACAGAGUUUGAGGAUUAAGAGGGCAGAGGUGAGGGAACCCCCUACUGCCCCAACCUCCAUAGGCAGCACUUCCCACCAGUUCCAGCCACAGUGGGCUCAAGGGAGACUCUGCAAGCCUGCCUGGGACAGGACACCCCCAAACAAGGAUUCUGGAGAGGGUCUGGCCUCCGACUAAGGAGUUCAUCACCCAUACUCAGCCAGGGCCCCAGCGAAGUUACUGUGUCCCCAGCACCAACCAGGAAGAGCCACAGGACCAGAAAAGCACAGACUUUUCCUCUAGCAAAGGGGCCCCCACCACUUCCCUAAGAACACUUAAAAAGCAUAUUGGAAAGAUAGGUUUUCCUAUUAAAACAGCAGCUGGGACCCAGGGCACACGCAGAUGUUAUUUUUCCCAAACAUGUGUCCUGGAGACAAGGCAUCAUAUUAUUCCAGACCACAUGAUAUGAGUGGUAAUUUUAGGCAGUGCAUUAAAUAGCACUGAACCACAUGCUGAGAAAGUUGCACCCUUGUCCCAUUUCUGACGUAUUUUAUUACCAAGGAGAGAGACUUACUCUUUCUUGCCCAUACCUCUUUUUUUUUUUAAGAUUGUAUUUAUUUGUAUGACAGAGAGAGACACAGCGAGAGAGGGAACACAAGCAGGGGGAGUGGGAGAGGGAGAAGCAGGCCUCCUGCGGAGCAGGGAGCCCAAUGUGGGGCUCAAUCCCAGGACCCCGGGACCAUAACCUGAGCCGAAGGCAGACGCUUUACCGACUGAGCCACCCAGGUGCCCCUUGCUCAUACCUCUUGAACAGUUUUCUCUCCCUCAUCUCCCUUUCGUUUUUUAAUUUUUAAAAAGAUUUUAUUUAAUUAUAUGACAUGGGGGUGGGGGGGGAGCAUGAGCCAUGGGAAGAGGCAGAGGGAGAAGCAGACUCACCACUGAGUGGGGAGUCUGACGCGGGGCCCAAUCCAGGAACCUGUGGUCGUGACCUGAGCCGAAGGCAGAUGCUCAACCAACUGAGCCACCCAGGCACCCCUCAUUUUUUGAAAAAAGAUUUAUUUAUUUGAGAGAGAGAGAGAGCAGGGAGGGGAAGGGGCAGAGGGAGAGAGAGAGACUUAAGCAAACUCCUCCAUACUGAGUGCAGAGCCCAAUGUAGGGCUCGAUCUCACCACCCCGAGAUCACCACCUGAGCCAAAACCAAGAGUUGGAUGCUUGACCGACUCUGCCACCUGGGUGUCCCCCCCAUCUCCCUUUCUAUACAGAGCUCUGACUGAGAGCCUUCAGAAGGCAACAGGAUCUGGCUAGAAUUUUUCUUGCCAUUUUCUUCUGAAAUUUUUUUUAACAUUUAGAAAAAUGAAAAGAAUUUUAUAGAAAAUAUCUAGAUUUCACUAUUAACAUUUUAUUUUAUCACAUAUCCAUCUCUCUAGCCACCCACCCAACCCUUUGAUGAAUUUCAAAGAAAGUUGAACAUUUGAAGGAAUCUAGCAUAUAGCAUGGUGAUUAUAGUUAGUACUUGAAAGUUGCUAAGAGAAUAGAGAUUAAAUGUUCUCACCACAGAAAAGAAAUAACUGUGAUGUGAUGGAGGUGACAGCUAACACUAUGGGGGUAACCAUUUCACAAUAUAUACUUGUAUCGGGGCGCCUGGGUGGCUCAGUUGGUUAAGCCACUGCCUUCGGCUCAGGUCAUGAUCCUGGAGUCCCUGGAUCAAGUCCCACAUCGGGCUCCCUGCUCAGCGGGGAGCCUGCUUCUCCCUCUGACCCUCCCCCCUCUCAUGCUCUCUCUAUCUCAUUCUCUCUCUCAAAUAAAUAAAUAAAAUCUUAAAAAAUAUAUAUAUAUACUUGUAUCAAAUCAACACAUUGUACACCUUAAACUGACACAAUGUCAUAUGUCCGUUGUAUCUCAAUAUAGCUGGAAAAAAUAAAGUUGAAGACAUCAGUCUACUUCCCCUCGAAACACUUCAGCAUGCAUAUCAUUAACCAGAGUUCAGUAUUUGUUUAUGGCUCUUUUUUUUUUUCCUUCGAAGGUGAAAUUUACAUACAAUGAAAUACAAAUCUUAAGUGUGCAUUUACAGAGACAAAGGCAUAUGGAGGAGUAACCCACCUCUAUCAAGGUUCAGAACAUCACCAUCACUGGAGAAAGCUGCCUCAAGCCCCUUCUCAGUCAAUCCCACCCUUCUUGCCAGUGUGUCAACAGCUAUUCAUAUGUUUUUCCCCCACCCGAAGUGAUGGCCUCAUUUUGGACCAUCAGUUAUAAGCCAACAUAUCUGUGAUAAGGAGGGACUUUGAAGGUAAGCUUGGUGAGGGUAGGGUAGGAAUCUUUUUGUUCACUAGAGUAUCCCAAGCACUUAGUACAACGGCUUGGGAGGUGGUAGGAGCUCAGUAAAUAUUAGUUGAAUUUAUAGACAUAUUUUCAUGUCCAACUUAAAGGAUAACUUAUGCAGAUGUGGUUAAAAUGUGAAGAAUUUACCCAAAACACUGCAUGAAUGUAUAUACUAGAGUUGGCUGUCCAGUAUGGUGGUUAUUACCCCCUGUGGUUGUUGAGCUCAUGAAAUAUGGCCCGUCCUGGGGCGCCUGGGUGGCUCGGUCCGUUAAGUGUCUGCCUUCCUCUCCGGUCAUGAUCCCAGGGUCCUGGGACCGAGUCCUGCAUUGGACUCCCUGCUCAGUGGGUAGCCUGCUUCUCUCUCUCCCUGCCGCUUCCCCUGCUCAUGCUCUCUGACAAAUAAAUAAAAUCUUUAAAAAAAUGUUAAAAAAAAAAAAGAAAUAUGGCCGGUCCCAAUUGAGAUGUGAACCUAAGCAUAAAACAAACACUGGGUUCCAAAGACUUAGUACAAAAAAAGCAGUGUAUAUGCUUUAAUAUAAUACUAAUCUUAAUAUCCUGCAUUAAUACAUUAAUAACCUGUAUAUCACUCACAUGUUGAAAUGGUAAUAUUUUGGUUACUGGGUUUGAUAAAAAUACAUUUAUUUUAUUUAUUUAUUUUUUGAGAGAGGGAAAGAGAACAAGCAUGUGGGGGGAUAGGGAGGGCAGAGGGAGAGGGAUAGAGAGAACCCCAAGCAGGCACCAUGCUCAGCGUGGAGCCAACAAGGGGCUCAAUCCCAUGACCCUGGGAUUAUGACCUGAGCUGAACUCAAGAGCCAGGUGCUCAACCAACUGAGCUACUGAGCCACCCCGAUAAAAAUACAUUUCUAAAAUUCUUUUCAUAUGUUUCUUUUAUUUUUUUUGGAGAGGGAUGGAGGGAGGGGCAGAGAGAGAGAGAAUCUUUUAGGCAGGCUCCAUGCCCAGCUUGGCCCACUGUGGGGCUCAAUUUUACAACCCUGAGAUCAUAACCUGAGCUGAAAUCAAGAGUCUGACCUUUAACUGACUGAGCCACCCAGGUGCCCCUCUUUUUACCUUUUUUUUUUUUUUUUAAGAUUUUAUUCAUUUAUUUGACAGAGAGAGAGAGAGAGAGAGAGAGAGAGCACAAGCAGGGGGAGGGGCAGAGGGAGAGGGAGAAGCAGACUCCCUAAUGAGCUAGGAGCCUGACUCAGGAAUCAAUCCCAGGACCCCCAGGAUCAUAACCUGAGCCGAAGGCAGAUACUUUACCCACUGAGCCACCCAAGCGCCCUUUUUUUUAACUUUUUUUGUGUGUGUAUGUUUAUUUUUCCUUUUUGUUUAACGUGACUAUUAGAAAAAAAAAAUUAAAUUAAACAUGUGACGCACAUUAUAUUUCUAUCAGCUGUCCGGAUGCUAAAAAGUUCACUGUGAUUCAUGUGUGUAAGUAUGAUCAAGAAGGGUUCUCAUUGGGCGCCUGGGUGGCUCAGUCGUUAAGCGUCUGCCUUCGGCUCAGGUCGUGAUCCCAGGGUCCUGGGAUCGAGUCCCACAUCGGGCUUCCCGCUCUCCGGGAAGCUUGCUUCUCCCUCUCCCACUCCCCCCUGCUUGUGUUCCUGCUCUUGCUAUCAAAUAAAUAAAAUCUUAAAAAAAAAA